CAUCACAGGUAACAGGUUAGUAUUCACUGGAGCACGGGAGGGGGUAGACGUGCGCCCCGUUGCUCCGUACCCGUGGAUUACUACCUACACGAAAACGAAGGAAGUGGGAGAUGAAAAAGAGACGAUAAAUAGAGACACAAACCAGGUGAAAUUGUUAAUGAAUGUGGAAGCAGACGAAGGAAUAAGUGAUGAAGAGAAGGAAUAAGAGAAGGAAUGAAAGAAUAAGAGAAUAAGUAAAGGAACAAGAGGAGUGUGUGAU